AGCAGAAUCGUGCGUGACAUUUCUUUUUGUGUGACGUUUUACUGUGUUGCGGUGGUCUGGACCUGGCCGGGUCCCGGAUUACCACGCUAGUUGCCACUGUGGUGAAUUGUUUUGUUUUUUCGCUGAAGGUUUAGUAAGAUAAUUAAGUUAAUAUAAGGCUCUCUCUCAGUGUACGGUACCAAGGACUCUACUGUUUACGGAUUAAGGUUUCUAUAAGGCGUCGUAAGGAUAUUAGGACACAGAUUUUUCGUUACCGCCAUUCCAUCGUAUCGUUGUAUCAAGACUGCGUGUAAACGAAUCUCUGUGGAUUUUCAAGUAAACUGAGUUGUUGUUGUAUGUUAUAUGGUAUAUCGUAAGAUCCCAAUGUAGCAGUUCUGCCGC